rnacentral:rRNA from 1 species
CACGUAGGGUGCAAGCGUUAAUCGGAAUUACUGGGCGUAAAGCGUGCGCAGGCGGUUUUGUAAGUCUGACGUGAAAUCCCCGGGCUUAACCUGGGAAUUGCGUUGGAGACUGCAAGGCUAGAAUCUGGCAGAGGGGGGUAGAAUUCCACGUGUAGCAGUGAAAUGCGUAGAGAUGUGGAGGAACACCGAUGGCGAAGGCAGCCCCCUGGGUCAAGAUUGACGCUCAUGCACGAAAGCGUGGGGAGCAAACAGG